CCAAGCAGUUUUUCCUGAUCUCCUUGUUUUUCUUCCCCUGCCUUGCAGAUCACCCUUCUGUUGUGUUGUGCUAUUACAUGAAAAGCCCAUAAGGGGGAGCUCUGACGGUGUAUGUUGGAAGAUUCUGUAUGUUGGAGAGGAAAAGAAGAACGAGGUAGAAGUAAAGGAACCAGGUACUGGAAACCGAGGAUGCUGAGCGACUGCAAGAGAAAAGCGAACGCAGGUUCUGGACAUGCUGGACUGAGGAUCGCCAGAUGGUCUGCUUGACUGCUCUGCUUCACAUAUGAUGUCACUUACCGUCCAGGACACCAAAACGUCACUGCUGACUGCCUGUCCAGACUGCCACUAGCUGCUGCAAAUGAGAGUUCACGUCUGCCAGUGAACCCUGCCCAGAACUGUCACUACUGCGCAACCAUAUUCAAAAAGGUUGGCCCAAAUGCAAACAAGGUCUGCCUGAGAACCUUGCUCCAUACUUUCAGUACAAAUGGAGCAUCCAGAAUGCAGUCUGGCUAUGCAAGUGUGCUACGUGGACUGAUGAGAUGACAUGCGUCUGCCAGAGAGAAAGAAAGACAGAGACUGUGAGAGAGCAAGAGCAAGAUUGUGUCAGAUGUGAUAUUGAUGACAAGCCUGUGUGCUUGUUCCUUGUUUCCCCUUGGCCCAGUGUAAGGUCACAGUGGAAAGGUGGGACAACAAAUGCCACCAAGUCCCACUGACAGCUUGACCCCUGGGAGAGAAAAUGUGCCUUUCAUCAGAUGCCCUGUUCCAUCCCAGCCCUACCCUCCUCUUAAUUGGUGCAAUCUUUCUUCCCAUCAUGUUCAAUUCUACUUAACCUAUACUUGCCAUUAUCUCUAGCACCGCCAACUGUUUUGCACUUUUUGCUUUUUCUCCUUUUAUCUCCACAUAAACUUAUAUAUGCCCUAUAUAUACCCACAGUGUGAUACAGAGGUAGAGCCUUCUCUACUCCCUGGUGGUUUCUUUGGACUCUCCAUCUAAUGUCACAAAUGGGUAGUAAAUAUGCCAUCAAAAGGACACCAGAGGAUCCACAUUCUGCUUUUGUUUCCUCCCACUCGUAACUCUCCAGAGGGCAGAAGGACAUACAUCACCUGGAGAGCCUUUUGGCAUAGAAUUAUGUUGUUUAUAGCAGGCUUUUUCUGAGUGAUCCAGAUGUGCAAAGCUCUUGCACGGGGAAGGAAAAAGAGGCAUACAGCGCAAAUUCAACUAAUGCUAACCAAGGAGUGUAAUCUAAAACAUCAUGUAAAUUGUAACUUAGAUGGGCCUGCUCAGCAUGCUAACCACAGAGAGAAGAAAACAUGUGAGUAGAGGAUAGAAGAAUAUUGUAUUUAUUCCACUCUUUGCCUCCUCAGGGCGUCAGAUGGGCUUGGCUCGUAAUGUCUAGUCAGAUAUGACCUUGAGCAAGUCCAUUGUCUCAUAGGACAUUCACUUACACUAUCACAUCAAGUCACCUCAAUAAAAACAACACUACAACAGCAUUCCAAUGAUGUAUAACUGCACAUCAGUUGCAUUAGCAAACAGCUGGGACCGGUUUGUCAUUUUAGGUUAUUGGAGUGCGACAGUACGC